rnacentral:snRNA from 1 species
AUUGCUUGAAAGAAUGGGGUUU